rnacentral:rRNA from 1 species
UACGUAGGGUGCAAGCGUUGUCCGGAAUUAUUGGGCGUAAAGAGCUCGUAGGCGGUUUGUCGCGUCGGCUGUGAAAACUCGGGGCUCAACCCCGAGCCUGCAGUCGAUACGGGCAGACUAGAGUGCGUGUAGGGGAGACUGGAAUUCCUGGUGUAGCGGUGAAAUGCGCAGAUAUCAGGAGGAACACCGAUGGCGAAGGCAGGUCUCGUGGGCCACUACUGACGCUGAGAAGCGAAAGCAUGGGGAGCGAACAGG